UGUUCCUUCAUCUUUGUCUCGUCUUUAUAAUAAAGCUUCAGCCUCCUGUGCUUCAUUUUUGCAGACUUCAUGUCAUUCAACAACUCAGGCUGCCCUUCUGUUUAGUGUUUGAGGGGACUUUCACACCCUUCUGAUCCACACACCAGCACUUGCCACGUCGCUUACCUCGAGACGACCAACACUGCACAAACAAAACAAAAAGAAAUAUAGUUUUUCAGCUGGGAUUACAACCAAACAUCUUUGGGACACUUUCAGUCGGGCUGAUGCUGCUCACAUUAGUACAGACUCCCCUGCCUUCCAGCAGGGCACGGAGGGGCCUCAGCUCAUCCUCUGAAGGUGCACAACGCAGACCCUGGGCGCAGCUGAGGGUGUAAACCCCACAUGCUUCUCCAAUGGCAAGAGCAGUGGCAUUUAAAGCUACAACCGGCUGACGCUGUGUGGACUUUGAUUUACAGCUGGGACAUCCUCGGGACGGAGUUGUCAGCUGCACUGGGGUUGAAAGAGCCGGUUGGAGGAGUACCAUCAACAGGAUGUUUAAACACAGAAGCAUCUCACAAUGGAAGUUGUCCACCAAUAUGUUAACAGUCCUAAAAAUGAACUUGUUGUAUCAGGACUUUUGAUCCCUCUUUUGCUCUAUCCUAAUAUAAAUCCCACUGCAGUGUGCCUGUGUUUAGAAAGCUGGAUAGUAAUUCCCUCAAGCCCAGGCAAAGUGAUAAUGAGCCUGACAGACAACACUGGCAGCAGCUUUUAAAGAGUCGAAACCAGUGGGAAAAGGUAUGGGAGGGUACGUGAUGGAGAAUGUUAGUUUUCCCUCUUGUUUUCACACAGCUGAGCACACCCCGUUUCCCUUGUCUCCAAAACUCACUCACGCAUGCUCAUACCAUUUGUUGUCUGUCAUCCUGCAGGAUAGUAAUGUGUUUCUAAAGCCACAUAAAUCACAAGUGUUUGCUAUGUAUGCUACUCCAAUGCUCUGCCUUUUCCCCACUGAGAGGAUAAUUUAUUAACUGAGGCGACGCUUUUAUGUAACCAACCAAUCACGGCUCAGCAGAUGAGAAAUGAUCUGUUUAGGUUUUUAAAUCAUUGCCUUUCAUCAUAAAAACAAACAUAAAUUUAAAUUGUGUUACCUGUAUGUGUGCAAUGUAUUACCACCAGUAGCUGUAGUUGAAAUGACCUCAUGGAAAAGUACAAAAUAAAAUAAACAAGCUAAGCCAUCA